UCGCACCGUACUCGGGCAGGCGAGUCAACUUCACGCGUUAGCUACGUCACUAAGGAAAUGAAUCCCCAACAACUAGUUGACAUCGUUUAGGGCGUGGACUACCAGGGUAUCUAAUCCUGUUUGCUCCCCACGCUUUCGUGCAUGAGCGUCAGUAUUGGCCCAGGGGGCUGCCUUCGCCAUCGGUAUUCCUCCACAUCUCUACGCAUUUCACUGCUACACGUGGAAUUCUACCCCCCUCUGCCAUACUCUAGCUUGCCAGUCACAAAUGCAGUUCCCAGGUUAAGCCCGGGGAUUUCACAUCUGUCUUAACAAACCGCCUGCGCACGCUUUACGCCCAGUAAUUCCGAUUAACGCUCGCACCCUACGUAUUACCGCGGCUGCUGGCACGUAGUUAGCCGGUGCUUAUUCUUCCGGUACCGUCAUCCACCCCGGAUAUUAGCCAGGAUGAUUUCUUUCCGGACAAAAGUGCUUUACAACCCGAAGGCCUUCUUCACACACGCGGCAUUGCUGGAUCAGGCUUUCGCCCAUUGUCCAAAAUUCCCCACUGCUGCCUCCCGUACGAGUCUGGGCCGUGUCUCAGUCCCAGUGUGGCUGGUCGUCCUCUCAGACCAGCUACUGAUCGUCGCCUUGGUAGGCCUUUACCCCACCAACUAGCUAAUCAGCCAUCGGCCAACCCUAUAGCGCGAGGU
rnacentral:rRNA from 1 species